rnacentral:tRNA from 1 species
GGAGAUUUAGCUGAGUGGUAGAGCGCUUGCCUAGCAAGCGCAAGGCCCUGGGUUCGGUCCCCAGCUCCG